CCUACGGGAGGCAGCAGUCGGGAAUUUUGCGCAAUGGACGAAAGUCUGACGCAGCAACGCCGCGUGAGGGAUGAAGGCCUUCGGGUUGUAAACCUCUUUUCUCAGGGAAGAUAAUGACGGUACCUGAGGAAUAAGCCACGGCUAACUACGUGCCAGCAGCCGCGGUAAAACGUAGGAGACAAACGUUAUCCGGAGUUACUGGGCGUAAAGGGCGUGUAGGCGGUAUGUUAAGUCUGGCGUGAAAGCUCUCGGCUAAACCGGGAGAGGUCGUCGGAGACUGGCAAACUAGAGGAUGGUAGAGGCGUGUGGAAUUCCGGGUGUAGUGGUGAAAUGCGUAGAGAUCCGGAGGAACACCAGUGGCGAAGGCGACACGCUGGGUCAUACCUGACGCUAAAGCGCGACAGCAUGGGGAGCAAACGGGAUUAGAAACCCCGGUAGUCCAUGCCGUAAACGAUGCCAGCUAGAUGUUCACGUCGCGCAAGCGAUUGGGGUAUCGAAGCAAACGCGAUAAGCUGGCCGCCUGGGGAGUACGGUCGCAAGGCUAAAACUCAAAGGAAUUGACGG
rnacentral:rRNA from 1 species